AGUCAACACUGCUGAUCUACUGGAGGGUCACACACCUAUAUGAACCUUUGUUAGACCUGUGUAUUCGAACUUGUCAUUCAAGCAUUUGAACCACAAGGCCUAAUCUAAUUAUCAUCUGUGUAUCCCACCGGUGUGUGGGUGUUUUUCAAGUAUCCUGAACGCUUAUUUUGCUAUUUCAUUGACACACUAUCAGUAUCUAUCAAACAUUCGAGAUAUACCCCUGAUGAAGUCUUUGAGCAAGACGAAACGCGUUGGAUUUUCUAUUUAUAACAUCAAUCUACAAACUUGUUAUAAGGAGAAGGAGGAAUCUGUAAAAGUUAUUCUACUUAUCCUCUGUAUAAUUUGGUGUCAUUUAUCAAAGAUGGAUACUUAACUCUGUGUACC